CACGAAGUUAGCCGGGGCUUCUUCUCCGACUACCGUCAUUAUCUUCAUCGGUGAAAGUGCUUUACAACCCUAAGGCCUUCAUCACACACGCGGCAUGGCUGGAUCAGGCUUGCGCCCAUUGUCCAAUAUUCCCCACUGCUGCCUCCCGUAGGAGUUUGGGCCGUGUCUCAGUCCCAAUGUGGCUGAUCAUCCUCUCAGACCAGCUAUGGAUCGUCGCCUUGGUAGGCCUUUACCCCACCAACUAGCUAAUCCAACGCGGGCCAAUCCUUUGCCGAUAAAUCUUUCCCCCGAAGGGCACAUACGGUAUUAGCUCCAGUUUCCCGGAGUUGUUCCGUAGCAAAGGGUAUGUUCCCACGCGUUACUCACCCGUCUGCCGCUCCCCUUGCGGGCGCUCGACUUGCAUGUGUUAAGCCUGCCGCCAGCGUUCGUUCUGAGCCAGGAUCAAACUCU
rnacentral:rRNA from 1 species